AGUGAACGCUGGCGGCGUGCUUAACACAUGCAAGUCGAACGAGAACGGAUUAUAGCUUGCUAUAAUUGUCAGCUAAGUGGCGCACGGGUGAGUAAUGUAUAGGUAAUAUGCCUCUUACUAAGGGAUAACAAAUGGAAACGUUUGCUAAUACCUUAUACUCCUUAUUAACAUAAGUUAAUAAGGGAAAGAUUUAUUGGUAAGAGAUUAGCCUGUAUUGUAUCAGUUAGUUGGUGGGGUAAUGGCUUACCAAGACUAUGACACAUAACUGGUUUGAGAGGAUGAGCAGUCACACUGGAACUGAGACACGGUCCAGACUCCUACGGGAGGCAGCAGUGGGGAAUAUUGCACAAUGGACGGAAGUCUGAUGCAGCAACGCCGCGUGGAGGAUGACACAUUUCGGUGCGUAAACUCCUUUUAUAUGAGAAGAUAAUGACGGUAUUAUAUGAAUAAGCACCGGCUAACUCCGUGCCAGCAGCCGCCGUAAAAC
rnacentral:rRNA from 1 species